rnacentral:rRNA from 1 species
UGGAGCCGUCCUUGAAAUACCACCCUGGUGACUUUGAGGUUCUAACCCGGAUCCAUUAUCUGGAUCGGGGACCGUGCAUGGUAGGCAGUUUGACUGGGGCGGUCUCCUCCCAAAGAGUAACGGAGGAGUUCGAAGGUUACCUAGGUCCGGUCGGAAAUCGGACUGAUAGUACAAUGGCACAAGGUAGCUUAACUGCGAGACCGACAAGUCGAGCAGGUGCGAAAGCAGGACAUAGUGAUCCGGUGGUUCUGAAUGGAAGGGCCAUCGCUCAACGGAUAAAAGGUACUCCGGGGAUAACAGGCUGAUUCCGCCCAAGAGUUCAUAUCGACGGCGGAGUUUGGCACCUCGAUGUCGGCUCAUCACAUCCUGGGGCUGUAGUCGGUCCCAAGGGUAUGGCUGUUCGCCAUUUAAAGUGGUACGUGAGCUGGGUUUAAAACGUCGUGAGACAGUUUGGUCCCUAUCUGCAGUGGGCGUUGGAAGUUUGACGGGGGCUGCUCCUAGUACGAGAGGACCGGAGUGGACGAACCUCUGGUGUACCGGUUGUGACGCCAGUCGCAUCGCCGGGUAGCUAAGUUCGGAAGAGAUAAACGCUGAAAGCAUCUAAGCGUGAAACUCGCCUGAAGAUGAGACUUCCCUAGGGAUUUAAUCCCUCUGAAGAGACGUUCGAGACCAGGACGUUGAUAGGUCGGGUGUGGAAGAGUGGUAACACUUGGAGCUAACCGAUACUAAUUGCUCGUGAGGCUUGACUCUAU